rnacentral:rRNA from 1 species
UACGGAGGGGGCUAGCGUUGUUCGGAAUUACUGGGCGUAAAGCGCACGUAGGCGGCUUUGUAAGUUAGAGGUGAAAGCCCAGGGCUUAACCCUGGAAUUGCCUUUAAGACUGCAUCGCUAGAAUCGUGGAGAGGUGAGUGGAAUUCCGAGUGUAGAGGUGAAAUUCGUAGAUAUUCGGAAGAACACCAGUGGUGAAGGCGACUCACUGGACACGUAUUGACGCUGAGGUGCGAAAGCGUGGGGAGCAAACAGGG